UUUUUUUUACGAUUUGUUUUUCAUUUGUUAUUAACGAGAGGCAAAAAAAAAUCUUUAAUAUCGAAAAUUAAAAAUUAAACUCUUAAAUGCUUUCUUUUUGUUUUCUCUUAAGUUGCUUUUUCUCGGAAAUGGUGCAAUUUUAAAAUAAGCUCUCCGUUGAAUAAAAAAUACUCACCAGAGUGAUAUCGGCUCUCAUUUCGCGUAAGUCUACGAUUUCCGCGUCUCACAGCGGCAGCAGAAUUUGCGUUAGCUCCAGUGUUCCCCGCCGAGCUGCCAGAUCCCGGAGGAUUGGCAAUGCCCCCAGGUACUAGCCGGCCUCCUGCAUGCAAUAUCAACGUCAACAGCACAUAGAUAAUACGACAGCUAAUAUGAAACCAGUGUAGACAUAAGUAAAGAGACAAUACAAACACGUGAAGAUCAUGCAAAAGAAAAAUAAAAAAACAAAAGAGAGAAGACAUUUACUAGUCAGUAAAAUGUAAAAUAAUAAAGCGAGUAAAAAUCCAAAACCAAAGGAAAUGAUGCAAACGAUAAUUUUUAUCGACGAAAUGUUAGGGAUUUACGCCGAUAAGAAAGUGGCACAGUGAAGCCGGAAACAUGGAAAACAUUGCUGCAUAAAAGCGCUAAGCAAAACUACCUGAGU